GAUGAAGAACGUAGCGAAAUGCGAUACGUAAUGUGAAUUGCAGAAUUCAGUGAAUCAUCGAAUCUUUGAACGCAUAUUGCGCUCUCUGGUAUUCCGGAGAGCAUGCUUGUUUGAGUAUCAGUAAACACCUCAACUCCCUUUUCUUUUUUGAAAUUGGAGCUGGACUUGAGUGAUCCCAACGCUUUCUUCCAAGAAAGUGGCGGGUUGCUUGAAAUGCAGGUGCAGCUGAACUUUUCUCUGAGCUAUAAGCAUAUCUAUUUAGUCUGCCUAAAAAACAGAUUAUUACCUUUGCUGCAGCUAACAUAAAGGAGACUAGUUCUUGUGCUGACUGAUGCAGGAUUCACAGAGACAGCUUCGGCUGACUUUGUAAACUCGAUCUCAAAUCAAGUAAGACUACCCGCUGAACUUAAGCAUAUAAUAAGCGGAGG
rnacentral:misc_RNA from 1 species